CAAACCUCAAGCCUUGCUUGGUGAUGGGCCCCGCCCGCGCGGCGGGCCCGAAACUCGUGGGCGCCCCAUGCCGGACUCCAAGCGUAGCAAAACCCUCGCUUGCGGACGACCGGUGUGAGGCCGCCCCGGACCCCUAAUUUUAUCAAU
rnacentral:misc_RNA from 1 species